UACGGAGGGUGCAAGCGUUAUCCGGAUUCACUGGGUUUAAAGGGUGCGUAGGAGGGCAGGGAAGUCAGUGGUGAAAUCUCCGGGCUUAACUCGGAAACUGCCGUUGAUACUCUCUGUCUUGAAUCCCGUGGAGGUGAGCGGAAUAUGUCAUGUAGCGGUGAAAUGCUUAGAUAUGACAUAGAACACCAAUUGCGAAGGCAGCUCGCUACACGAAGAUUGACUCUGAGGCACGAAAGCGUGGGGAUCAAAAGGG
rnacentral:rRNA from 1 species